UACGGAGGAUUCGAGCGUUAUCCGGAUUUAUUGGGUUUAAAGGGAGCGUAGGCGGGUUGUUAAGUCAGUUGUGAAAGUUUGCGGCUCAACCGUAAAAUUGCAGUUGAUACUGGCAUCCUUGAGUACAGUAGAGGUAGGCGGAAUUCGUGGUGUAGCGGUGAAAUGCUUAGAUAUCACGAAGAACUCCGAUUGCAAAGGCAGCCUGCUGGACUGUAACUGACGCUGAUGCUCGAAAGUGUGGGUAUCAAACAGG
rnacentral:rRNA from 1 species